CUGCCCCGCAUGCCAUCACUCUUCCGUUGUGAACGGAGUUUGACUCGUCUGUUCAGUCGCUAUUUAUUGUAUUUGGUAUUACCUGUAAAGUGAACCUUGCAUAAGGAUAUCCCAGCUCGAAAUACAUGUUAGUAUCAAAAGCCAGUUUGGACAAUAAGGUCUUGCAGAGCUUAUGGCUAUCUACUUUCGAAUGGAACUGCAGAAGUAUAGCAGGGGAACGUUUAGCUUAUUAGGAAAAGAACCUCCAUUAGGUCGCCAGGUCCCUACAACACAGCAGUUAUAAAGACAUAGAGCAAGCACAAGCACGCAGGAUACUAACAUUCCAUUUGUACAGCAUUCUCAGUAUUUCUCAAAUACGAGCUAGAAUUAGCUAGAAAGUCGUAUACAUUUGAGAGUAUUAGUUAGAAACCUUUAACCAAAUAGAGCACCAAGCCUGCUUCCACUUCUUUUUCUCCUGGGCCGGCCUUUACCAAACCCCAAAAGUCCUAAGGCGACUUCCUUCACUAAGAAACCGAUGCUAAAAGCGCUAAUCUAUAGUCCGGGCGCUUCACAGCUCCAAAAUCCCUUUGGAAUCGCUUCGAAAAGUGCACUCUAAGUCUCCUUCGUAUGACAAGUAAGGCCCCUGCCCUUCUUUCCUCUAUUGAACUAGGCCGAAUCCCCAACGUUGUUAGAAAAGGAUCCGCCCAAUAUCUUCAAAAGCGGCUGCUACUUCGUCCCCUUCGUUGCCUGCUUCAAUCAAUCGUAUUUAUGAUCGUGAAAACGGAAACUGACGUUGGCUAAUGCCCGUGCCCUACCAAGUAUAGGAAAUAAGGUAGUACGUACAUGGGGAUCCCAAAUGACAAGAAAGAGUAUAUAAGGGUAGUACAAGAUAGUCAAGAAUACGAGGUAUCAUCUAGUCUUUAUUGACCGGACUAGUCUCAUCCCAUCUGGGCUGUUUGGAUGACAUAUCGAAAGGGUAGGAUUCCGUUCCCGAGGGGGUGAGGCUGCCUUGGUACGGUGAGUUGCUAGCUAUGGACCAAAGCGAGAACGAAAGCAACAGCCACGGAAACUAUAUCUCUUGCUCACUUACUUGCUGAUUGAUCUGAGAAUGUGUGAACUCAAUUGACUGGCAGCAUAGCCUUAUAGACGAAAGGAGGCAGAAGGAAGUGUUAACCAAUCUCCUAUCCAUUUAGCAGCAUGUGGGAGUUUCUUUGAACUAAGGCCCUUCUUUCUUGCUACGUUGCUUGUCGGAUCAGUUGAUUCAUUCGGCUUGAACUAGCUAGGACAGGCUUCCUGGCAGGAUGGAUUCACCGCUAAAGAAGUGAGUGCUAAUUUCUCCUUUCAGUUGUGUGAAAGCAUCUUGAUUCAGAAAAAAGAGAUUUCUCUGGGACCCUAGGUUACAGCCAGUUAAUGCUUCUAUGUAACAAAGAUCGGAUAGCCAAACUAGUGAGAUUUGGACUACAAAUACAUAAACUAGUCAUCAAUAUGGGAUUUGAGUUCCGAAUAAGAAAUGGAAGGGACCCGUCUGAGGCCUCCAUCCAUGACCAAAGACCGGCCCAGAAUGUCACAUGAAGAUUAUUAACAUCUCGGGUUGAAAAAACACCACUGCCGACGCUCUUAAAAGAUCGCCAGCCUGACAUUCCAGGAAUCCACCCCUCACUUUAUUGUCUUGUCCCUUUCUUCGAUCUCUGGGGAUCCGAUUCCGCAUGAUUAGCUCCUUCGUUUGAGCCUGAUUUGCCAUGAGCUUGAGCCGUGAGAUAAGACGAUUCUGCAGAUGUAGGCUCCUUUAUUCAGUCCUAUUAGCCGGUCUCUAGCCUGAGGUCCCAGCCCUACCUUUCUGCCGUAUACGUAAAAGCUCUGGUCUUAGGAAGAAGACGCCAAGCUAUAGCCCGUAUAUACUGUAUAUAAAACCUUGCAAUGAAUAGUAGAGGGCCGAGCCUAUACACUAUAGAUUAAUCCCAAGCCGAUACACUAUAGAUUAUUCCCUGGUAUAUAAAACCUUGCAAUGAAUAGUAGAGGAGAGGGCCAACCGCAAUGAAUAGUAUAGGGCCAAGCCGAUACACUAUAGAUUAUUCCCUGCCUGACCGAAAAGUCAAUGGAAGCCCCUUAUAUGCAUGAGGCCAUAGAGCUGCUCAUGAGGUUACUUAUAUCCCUUCGGCAACUUAUUAAUGACAUACACUGAAAAAAGGGAGAGCUUCAAGUAAAUAUUGAGCAGGCAUACCAGCUUGAAAGAAGUGCGGCGCCCUCUAAACCAUGUAGAUGCUUACGCUCGGCAGUGACAUUCGGCUGUAGAGUGUGAGGACAAGAAAGACGAUGUAGAAUGCCAUUUGUACGAAGGAAGAAAAGAGCUUAUCCUUGUUUCGAAACGACUUUUCCUAGGACCACGCAUACUAUUCUCCAACCGGAAGAGAGAAAGCCCCCGCCCCUCUGAAACUCAAUCAUAACUAGCCCAUUUCUUCCUCCAAUUCGUUCGUUCAAGUAGUAAACUUCUUUGACCUACUGGAAGUUUAGGAAAAAGGGAUUCUGUGUAACUUCCUUCCACGUAGCAGAGCAGUCGAUAGCAAGCGUCCAUGGAUCUAUUGGACUAUAACAAGCCGAUAGUAAUCUUUCUCUCCCGAACUACUGCCCUCAUUUGAGCAAAGACUUUUUAGCAUGAGUAACCGAUCGAAGGGAAGGAAGGGGAAAGGAGGAGUUUAUUUACCAUUUUCUAUGCCAUGUGCUCGAGAUAGGAUAUAUAUGCCAUUCUGACUUCUUGUAGAAAGUUCCAUUCUUCGAUUCUUACUUGUGCAGGUGAGGAGUGGAUUCCACAUAUAAAGAGAGAGAUUCCAAAUUCAUAUUGAGACUUUUGCGGGUAAGGCAGAGCUGAUAGAAUUCAUAUUGACUUUAGCAGAUAAGACGGAACUCUUAUAACUCUUGCAAGUAAACCUGUCAUUUCUCUUAGCGCUGAAGAAAAGAAGUCUUCUGAAGCAGAGUGACAGUGAAAAGUAGAGAGGCGUAGCUCGCGUUAGGAUAAUUUGAGGUUGAUUGAACACCUGGCCAAGUCGACAAGCAGACAAGCCGAUCCUGUUUUCGUAUCAGCCUUAGUCAGCUUCAUGAGCAAGUCUAUAAAUCUCCAGCCAUGUUAUUCCAGAGAAAAAGGAACUAGAACAGAGGCUAAACGUAGCUAAUGGGAAAUGCCCUAUGUUAACUCUUAUCGGCUAUAAUAAAGCAUUUUUGCCUAUAAAGAUAAGGAUUCCCUUUAACUGUACCUCUGAAAGCUGUAAUGACUCUUUCCUCUUCUUGUUGGCUUUCUGGAAUAAUAGCUAUUUCAUUAGGCGCAUAAAUUUACUGAAUGACGAAUCCCAUCUUGGGUAAAUUGGUCAUUGUCUCACUUCUCUCGGUAAAAUGAAAGAAAUGUGGCUUGCUCUCUCUCUCUUCGCUAAUGCCGAUGUAUAUAAGAGAAUUGGCUCUAUUCGUCAAAAGGUUGGUAGUUUGUUCAAAUCUUUUCAUUGGUUAAGCUUAUUGUCUAUUUAUCCCGAGGGGUUAGGUGGGUAA
rnacentral:lncRNA from 1 species